rnacentral:lncRNA from 1 species
GUCCAUCUAAAAUCACUGGCGUGGUGUCAGAAGACCUUGUCUUAACCUAGCAGCAAGGCAAGGUUGCAGCUGAGUGAUGCUUCUCCUUCCUGAGCAUGUUUUUCUGUUCUGUUGCAGUGAAUAAGCCACUGAAGUCAGACAGUCUGGAGCUAAUGAGAAGCAACUGGAAAGCAAUAUGAUUUCUCAAGAAAUGGCGACUUACAUCACCAUCUUUCUCCAGCUGACUGCACCACUAAACUCCUGGUCAUCUUUGGCGCAGCAGGAAGAGUCAAAGUCAGAUAUCUUCCAUCUCAUCAGUAGAUGCAGGCAAGACGUUGCUCAGAGCCAUCAGCAAGAUGCAAGUGAGCUGACAGUCAGACUCUUGUACAAGAUUUUCAUGCCUUACAAGGUGCGUAUAUUACUUUAACACAUUUUUUUUUUUAUCUUCUCCCUUUUUUUCUUUCGGUUUCAUAUUUGAUAAUUCUGAUCCCUGAGACUUGUUGAAAAUCAUCUGCUAAUGAUAUUAAGCGAUUCUUACAUUAUACAGUGGUCCUGGUCUUUGUUUUACUUGUACAGAUACAUUAUUGUCUGUCCCUCCAGCAUGCAAUGCUGGGAGAUGUUAUGCAUAUCAGCUGCAUCAUUCGCAAGUUCAUCCUAAUGAAAUUUGGCUAUAGUGGUGAAAGUUCCUUCAGAUUAAAUGAAUAUACUACAUGUUUUUGAUGGUUCAGAUGGCAACCUAACAUCUCUCAUGGCUUAAGAUGGUAUGCACCAUUAGAUUUACAAAGUAUGAAAGCAUAGCAUAUGCUAGCAGAAGUCCCUCAGACUUCCAUGUUAUUUUUCUACUUUCCUUGUAAUGCAAACAAGCAUAAGCCUUGAAAGAUCAGUGAUGCAUAGGUAUGAUUUGGCAGCUACUUAAACAAAACCAAAACUCUGAUGGCAUUUUGCUCUUAAAAGAAAAUCCUGGUGUAUCUUGUUUUGAGGGAAUGGAAGGAAUUGUAAAUGAAAAAGUUUGGACACCAGUGCCUGGCAUUCGUGCAACAUUCUGAGAAGGAGCUGAAAGGCUCUCGAGUGCUUUUCCCUUUUAGUGUCUCUUCAUACUCUUUUUUGGUCUUUCCUUUCUGAUGUGAAAUGUUUGUCUAAUUCAGUAUCCCAAAUUACAUUUUAUAAGUGAAGUUCUUCUAAGAGCCAGUCACCAGGAAGCAUCCACUUUAAUUCAGAGCUGGAAUAUGAAAUCAUACAGUUAGAACAGUACAACGGUAAGUCUUUAAUUUAAUGUAUAAUCCUUGCAAAUCUUCUAGGGCCCAGAGCUCACAAGUUUGUUAUUGUGACUAUCACAAAGAAUAAUGUGGAAAAAGAAGUACACUAUUGUGUGGGAAUAUUCUCAAGGCAACAGGGUCCACAUGUAGUAGAGUUCUAUGUUUGAUGUGGCUCGGUUUAGUUCUUUUACUGUAGUACUUUGCUUAUCUACCACUGCUCCCAUUCCCUGUUUAAUAUUAAUCUCCAGUAUUUGACUGUGAGAAAAUACUAAAGCUCUGAUCAAAAAAUGUUUUUUUUUUUAAUCCAGUAAAAUUGUUUCUUUUGAGUCAUAAAACAGUUCUAAAUGUUGAUUUUCCCAUUAUUACCUGUUUACUUAAUUUCUCAGUAACUCACCAAAAGCCCCGUCAACUGUAGAUGCUGUGUUUCACCAUCACUCUUGGGCCCAGGCUGAGACCAGAGAACACGUCCUGCUGUCAACUGUCCAUGGUUUUGCUUGCUUUGUGUUUGACUCUGGCUUGGAGCUCAGGCUCCAGCUCAUCUCAGCACUGUCCUUUCCAAAGGCAGCUUGGAGCAGCAGGCUGCAGGCUGGCCAAGACAUGGCAGCUUCCACAGUUAUCUCACCUUAGCCAAAAACAGCACCAGAUUGUGAAUUGUCCUGCUAUGCUCCACCAGUGAAAAGGGCUAAUUUUUUUUGUGGAUAUGUUAUGGCUGUGGGCAAGAUGAGGGAAGAACACACUGUCUCAGCAAGCAGACAGCAAUUAAAGACUCUUCCUCUCAGAAAUACAGCGACAGAGAAACACUGGUAAAAUUCAGAUUUAGUCUGGACUCAAUUGCUCUGUCUAUGGCUGCUCCUAUGGGUAUUACAGUUCUGGAAAUACCAGGUUCCCAUUCUGGAGCAGCAGAGCACCAAGGUCUAAUGGAGCUGGCAGGAGUCAUUUCUGUGCUUGAGUACACACUGGUCUGCCCCCUUCACUCCUUGCCCUCAUGGAUUUGAACUGCCUUCAUAAAGAGAAAUGUGCUUUGUUUUUAAUGGUUAUAUGUGACAAUUACAAUUUCUCUUCUUUUAUCAAAAAUACAUCAUUAUUGUCAAGAAUGGGUCAUUUUAUUCACAGCAUUAUAGCUUAAAUAAAAUGUAAAGUCACUAAAAAACACUGAAGCCCUUAUAAGUACCCUUAUUCUAUUAAGCAAAUUGGAAAUAUUAGCAUUUACUGGUUCUCCAAAGGGCUAUUGCGUUCAUGAACAAGAAUCUUCAUCUUAAUAUUUCUCUUCCCACUAAAUUAAAAAUGACAGUAGAUGCAGAGCAUGUAUUGCUACAGACUGUAGCUCUAUGGAAAACUUAGCAUGAUUUCAGAGCUGCAAGCUUAUCUGCUUAAGGACAUUACUAAGAAACCAGAUGGAGGAUAAUUUCCCAAAGCUAACCAUCUGGACCCUGCAAUGAUACACUCUGCCCUAAGCAUUACUCUGGGAAUUGACUUCAUGGUGGGAAAAAAAGCAGUGAAAAAAGGACAAGUGGAGAAAGAAAGUACAUUGUAUUUUACAUUACAAAAUUUGAACCCAAAGAGGCACCAUUUUGGAACAUACUGCAGUUUACUCAUUUUUGUGGUAUAAUCUGUGGGAAAAAGGGAAGAGAAAAUGAGAGUUUAAUGGUUAAUAUAGCAUCAUAGUGAGCUACAUUAGAAAGUAGAGAUGGUAUAUUGUUGUUUUUUUUUUUGUGGAAUUUUGAUUGAAUCAUUAGAAGUCAAGAUGCAAAUGAGUAGUGUAAUGUUUUCUGUUAGAACUGCUGUUUUUUUUUUUACACAGAUUCAUUAUUUUAGGUCUGCUAGGUUAUUUUAUGGAGUUCUGCACUUCAGGUAUUCCAGCCAGGUCUGUGUCCCCAGCUGAGAACUCCAGUGGUUUGCGUAGAAAGGUAAGAAAUACAGCAUGUUCCAUGAGGUUUGUGGAGAACACCAAAUGCCUGUUAACCAGAUCAGGUCAAAGCAAAACUCAAAUGAGUGCAUUUUCUGAAUGUUUCUACUGUAUGAUCUUAAGAUGAAAUUAAUUGGUGAAAGAUUUCAGGUGUCAGAUACACCAGCACUCUUGGGACCAGAAGAUCUAAUGAAAGUUAUUUAUCUUUGAUGGUCAUGGGGGUCUACAACCUAUCUUAUUGGAUGCAAUCUUUAGCUGAAAUUUUCUACGAUGAUAAGGCAUUUGGGUUUGUUGUUGUUUCUCCUGCUAUGAUGGUUUUCAGCAUCUCUGAGUGUCAGCUUUUGUUAUGGGCUUUUCUCUGCCAACGCAGUUAUGGGAUAUUUUCCUACAGGGUAUUCAACUGCUUUUGCUUAGCCUGUAGGAACUUACUGGAGACUUUUUUAACUUUUGACACAUUUUGAAUGAAAUUUGCCAAUGAUUUUUCUUUCAUUAGAAAAUUUGGCUAAUACUGUAGAUUAAAAUAAAUAACAGCAAUAAACUUGAUUCAUGUUGAAGUUCUACUACAUGUUGCAAAACUCAUAUCGCAGGUUAGCUCUAAUGCACUCUGUUAUAGCGUGAGCCUUGUAACAAGCUACCUAUUAUCGCUGAGAAAAUGUCAUCAGCUUCCAUCAAAUGUGAGGAUCUUAUCUAGGGCUUCCAACUGUAGCUCACUUUUUUGUGUGUGUGACAGAUUUAGAACAGUAUGAAGGUGUUAUAAAAACCCAGAGAGCCAUCCAUUCAGCACGUUUUUAGAUGGAAUCCUUAGAAAGAAAUAAAAUGUUUUUAAAUUUUCAUUCCCUUUACCUAGCUAGAGCUGUUGAUUGUUUCUGAUAUGUUUAUGUUACAGCUGUUCUGUAAAGACAGACAAAAUGCUCUGUAAUGGUUUUCAAAAGUUCCAUAACAUUUUUCUUCAGCCUGGCACUGUUUAUAUGUUGUCUUGUCUGCUUAUUGCAUCAGGAUGUCCAGAAGAAAAUAACACAGGCAGAAUUGGAUGUCAGGUAAUCAUCAGUAUGAAAAUGGUUUUUUGUUUGUUUGUUUUUUAAUUUCCCUGAAGAAAAUCUACUUGGGAAAAUCAGUAGCAAAACUUUUUUGUCAGUGAAUGUCACUGCUGUGAAACCGGUGCUUUGGUUAAUGUUGAAAUUGGCUUCAGGUGUUAAUGGCAUGAAAUAGCUUACAGAAGAACAUAACACAAGCCUUCUCCAGCUCUUAAUUUACUUUCAUAUGAGAGUACAAGCAAGAGAAAUAGUGCUGAAAACACAGAACUUAUCUUUCUCUACUCAUCGCUCCUUUUCUUCAUCAGUGUUGCUCUGAAGAACUGUUGGUUUAGCAAUUGGGGUGAGAGGACCGUUGUCCCUUAAACACCUGGCAUUUGGAGGCUUCUAAAGUAUACCAUGAAAAGCAAACAAAAUCUGAAGCGGGACAAACCUUCUUAAGAAGCAUUUUGUAUAAGUUGCCUUGUUGCCAAUCGUGAAUCUUCAGAACUGUCUGCCAAAUGCCUGACACUGAAGUGAUUUAAGACCUGCAUUAGAUCAGCUUCAACUGAGUGUAGCAUGCUGCCCUGGGAGGGUGACUGCUCAAUGAGCAUUCCCCUGGCUCUGAGAAGUGAGAAAAAUAAGUUCUGUUAAAAGAAAGAAUUAAUAGUAAUUUGAAUUGAGAAGCCUAAAUCCUGCCCAGACAUACACUCAGAACAAGUUCAGAGCUCAGAAUGCCGCAGUAAUGCAUAUCAAACUUUCUUUCACAUAAACUCCUCGAAACAUCAGGAUGAAAUGGUUAUCAGGAUUCUGAAGGACUAAGGUCUUCAUGUGUAGUGCUAACAGUUAAAAAGAAGGAAAAGCAACCAAAUUGCCCCUAGUCUGCUCAAGAGCCUGUCACUGCUUCCUAAGUGGUCACGCUACAAAAUCAAAGAAGUAACAAGGUAUGGUUGGUUACCCUUCCAAAAAUAACUGCAAGUAUUAAGUGCUGUCUUUAUGGAGAAGCCAGACCUCCUGCAGUAAGAGGGAAAAUUGAAUUGACUUGCAAGAGGCCAGAAUGCCACCCACAGAGGUGCUUGAUUGCCAGAAAAUGCUGAGUUCCUGCUGCUUGGAAUCACUGCUGUCCGAUAUCCGGCAUUGUACUGAAAGGCCGCCCAGGGAGGUGGUGGAGUCACCAUUCCUUGAGGUGUUCAAGAACCAUGGAGAUGUAGCACUGAGGGACAUGGUCAGUGGGAGCGGUGGAGGUAAAUUUAAGGGCAUGCAUCUCUGGCUGGACUUUUCUGGAAGGACUUUUCUGCAGCCUUUUGCAUUCUCUAUGUUCAGAGGAUAGAAGCUGUAACCAUUCAGUUCUGCAAUCAGGCUUGGCUCCAGUGAAAAUAAAGUUGAAUUCCAACAUAAGGUAACCGGUAAGCUUUUGUGUGAUGGACCACCACCACCAAGAUAACCAGCUUUCAAAUAUGAGGAUAAUGAACACACUGUUUAAGUCCAUGGAACUCUGAUUUACUGUGGCUGAGGCUCUGGAAGAACUUUUUUUUUUCUCUUUGUUUUGUAGACUCAGGUAAGAAUAGUUGCUUAGUAUAUGCAAUCUGCUGCUGUAGGAUGGUUUAAAAGUGAUUUGUAACACAUGACCAAAAUAGAGUACUGGUGUAGCUGUUUACUCCAUGGGGCAAGGUCAGUUCCAGUGAGCUCUGGAGAAUGAUAUACAUGGUUAGGUUUUGCUGUGAUACUGAGAACCGCAAGUAAAGUAAAUGUGAAGAGUGGUACACAAACUAAAAAGCAAAACUGAGCAGCCUGCUCCCUUUCUCUCCCAUCCUCUGUAAAAUGACUGUUAGCACACUAGUCUGGGCAGAAUGGCACGCAAGGUUGUUAUGUUUUGAAGGACAUUUAGUUCUAGAAAAAGCUACGUGCUAAAGUAUAAACAGGACAGCAAAGGAGAUCAAACACAUAGAGUUGUGGUUUGAUUUAGCUGAAAUGUGAAGUACGGCCUCUCCAUGGUUGUCUGAGUUAAAAUCAACAGAAGAGGCAAAAUGCUCUUUUUGAUGUGUUUUCCACUGCUGGAUUUCAAAGACUGUCUAAAAGUGAAAGAGUUGUGAAACUGCAGACAUUUAAUACUAGGUGGGAUGAAGGAAGAGCCAGAAGUGACCUAGAGAGAAUAACUUCCCAGCAGUUAUGUGAGAGGCCCACGAUGAUCCCAAGAUACUUCAGGAGAAAAAAAAAAUAAAAAUCACCUGCACAUGUUGCCAUGGCUUUAGAAAGCAUGAUGUUUAGAAUGAUAUACUACAAACUUAUAUUGGAAAAAUGAGAGAAAUAUCACAUUUGUUUAUCAGCUGGGGUUCUGCCCAAUAUACUCAUGCUAAUCAUAAAAAUGAUUAGGUUGUAUUUCUUCAGAACUGGGAACAGAUGUGUGGAGUAUGACUGACACUCCUUCUAUACUAUUAUCACAGGCAGAUAGCUAUCAGAAAGUCGAUCUCUUCCUGUCUUUGCAAUGUGUCUCCAGGCUGUGAUGAUACUGACACUAGGUAUAUCUUAAGCUGCCUGUAGGUUCCAGAAUGAAUGAGAAAUUUAAUAUGGGAGAAUGUUCCCUGAUGAAAGAGACUUAUUUACUGUGCCCACUUUGUGAUGUCUUCUAAAAGGAGUAGAUAAAAAGCAGGAAAUAAUACAAAGAUAUAGGUGGUUUAUUCAAAUGUGAUAUUAUUCAUCCUAGGAGAAAUAUUUUGCUCAUUGCAGGAUGGAAAACUGAAAGAAAGGAAUGGAAAUGGUAUGUGCCCUGCUAAGCAGAAUUUGGAGCAAGAAGGAAUGAUUUAUGGAUUUAUAAAGGUGCUGGUUCUAAUGGCCAUGAGGAUCAUGAGAAAACCAGAAAGAAUUAGGACAUACAUAUAACCUGAUCUGCCAUAAAUUUGUAGCAGGAACAAUCCUUUAUUAGGUCUUUUAAGCAUUAUCAUAUAUCACCAUAAAAUCUACAUUACUAAAGGCACCAUGGAGAUGUCUUGAAGCUCUUCUUUAAAUCAAAUAAAUAUACCUAGUGCUAGCUGCACUCAUUAAUAAAGUAAGCAACUUUAUUAGCAUUAGGGCGGUUGCUUAUCCUGGCCAUGGGCAAAUUCUCCACUGCUUUCAGCAGCCCACCACCCCUCAUGGGAAAAAUACACAUAUCCAGGGUAAGCUCCUGCUCCACUCCAUUCUGAUGGAUCACUGCCACUCCUUGGGUCUAGGAGCUCCCCAGGAUGCUCACACACCUGAAAACAGAUCUAGGAAAAUGUCAAACAGCAGUGACAAAUGAUAUGCAAAAUCAUAUCAAAGUUUAUCAAUGAAAACUAGAGAGCUGUUAGCUUUAGGAUAGGAAUAAGUGCAAUGAUGGGUGACAGGUGAAGGGUUAGCUAUUCUAUGUGUGACCAAAGGUGUUAUCAAAACUUUUGCUGUUAUCACAAAUAUGCUGAAUGUAAUACUGUGAGUUUGGUACCACAAAUGUAAUACAGAUCACAUAACCUUGUUUUCCAGCCAUCUGCUUAGGAAUACAAAUAAAAAUAUCACAUUAAAAAGAGUCUAAUGCCUUAGGUUUUUACAAAUGUCUAACAAAUAAACAGUUUGAGAGAGAGGAAGAACUGUUAUGCAUAAAAUAUCAUAAAUAAAGGUAGCAUUAUUUAAAGAACAUUUUUAUGUGUUUUGAACAUUUGCAUCUCACAGUUUACCAUGAAAUAUUCUCUUUCCUUAGUUUCAGAGAGGAGACAGACAGCUGGUGGAGUUGCAGAUGUAAGUAUGUUUUCCCAUUUUAAUGUCUUAAGCAAUUGUUUUUCGUGAGAGAGAAGACCAGUUAUGAAAAACAGCGAUUUGUCAGUGCUUUGUCAAGGAACAACAAAGAUUCUGCUGAAGUUGAUAUUAGGCCAACAGGGAUUCUGUGGAGAGUUUCCCUUCAACAAGCAUAGCAUCUCUCAGAGAGGUACAUGCAUACUACGUACUAUACCAACACAAAAAUAAAAAUGUCCUGAUUGAGAAGAUAUACGUAUUCUUGGAAGUACUGAAAUCUGUAGAGGUACAGAUUUAUCUCUUUCUUUCUUUGUUUAUUGUGAUGUUCAUUAGGUUCAAUCUCUAAUGUAGUUGAAACCAUUUCGUUGUAGAGAGAGGGAGAAGAGAAAACCUGUUUAUAAAACAGAAGUAAUAAACCUCGCUGUACAUACUGCCCUUUUCAUGACUUAAAGACAAGUGAAAUUGUUGGGAAGAGAGGAAUUAACAUUAUUACGAGCAAAGAGACUACAGCAGUCUCCUUUUAAAUGGAAUCAUAAAAUAGGUUCAUCAUUUCUUCCUGUGGCAAUUUAAUUCACAAUUUGCACUGUUCAGGUAGAAGCAUACUAAUGGCAAAUUACAGAAAGCAAGUCAUUGUAAUGCAGUGAAUGGCAAAUUCCAUUGUUAUAGUGCAUCAGUGAUUCUCGGUAAGGAGAAAUGAUAUUGCUUUUGCCAAACCUAAGGAAAAAUUCUCAGUACAGCCAGAGAACUGGUGAAACUUAACGAUAUUCUGUAUUCUUAAAACUCACAUCCUCACCUAAAUAGCUCAUGCCAACUGCUCCUGUAAGCCAGGCCUUUAAGUAAAAACAGAUUCAUGAAGGACAAGUCCUUUUUUUUUUUUCCAUGUUAUGCUGGUUGUCUUCUUCAUUUGUAAGCACGUAUAUUCUAUUUUAUAUAAUUUGAAAUCCAACCCAAUUAUUCUGGCUAUCCAUCUGCAAUGUUAGAUAGCAAUGAUUGGCCAUAGGACUGGUAAUAAUGACAGCAGCAACAGUUUAUUUUAGCUACUGGGAUAUUUUUUCCCCUCAAUUGUAUUGCUCUGUGUCAUAUGUAUGUAUGCAUUUCAGAAAAAUAACGUUGGCUGCUUCACGUUUCUAGAAAUUCUGUUUUAAAUUGAUUUGCUAAAAGAGCCAAAGCUAUUUCUCUGUUUUUCCUUCUGGCACAGCAUCUUAUGGUAUUCUCUUAAACAUUAGUAUUUAGUAUGCAUCAUUUAAUGCAAAUAUUCUUGCUUAGGUGAUUGGGCAUGCUUUUAAGAAAGCAUAUACCAAAAUGAAAUUUGCAGCUCUCUAGAUAUUACAUUUAAUUAUCUCAAGAAAUAGAACACAGUGAAAUAUAUUAUUCAUAGCUUUCAAAUUUAUUUUUAAAACUUCUUGGCAUCAUCACAGAAGGGUGGUUCUUCUUGUUUUUAACCUUGAUUUUAUAAGAACCAUCUCUGUGUUCAACAUAACUUGUACACACUUCAGCAAGUGUUCCACUUAAAGGAAAGGGAUAUGUUUGGAAAAAGAGCGAACUUUUGGUCCAAGAGCUGAUACUACUUUAAAAGGUGAUCUUGAAAUCUCCACUGUAAAGCACUAGAGCUAAAAAAAUAAAUAUACCAUGGAUUAUUUCCUGGUUGUUACUUUUAUUUCUAAAUGGACUAUUUUUUAAAUUUCUGGGUCAAGGUUCUUAUAGAUCAUCAAACUGUUGAACACACAUAAACACAGAUAAAACAUUAUAAUCACUUCUCUAGAAGAAAAUAAUGCCCACUCAGCAUCUUUAGCGCCACUUACAUAUUCUGUGGUCUGUAAAAUGAGUCUUAUUUACUUCAUUUACUUAUUUACUGGACUAUUUGGAUCAAACACUGGGUCCAUAAGCACCAGUUCAGGCAUGGUCCCCAGGUAUUCUGGAUUAAAAUAUACAUAUAAAUAAAUAAAGUACACCAUAAUGUAAAAAGCUCAUAGGCUGUAAUCCAGCAACUGACAGGUGGGAAGUCUCAGAGUGAGGGGUUUGAAAAGGAACAACAAAUAUAAUCGGUUAGCAUUGCAAAGUGGGUACCUUUAAGCAAUCCAAACAUAGAUGGCUUGCCUGUCCUUCAUUUCAUAGAAAAUGCCUAGCCUUAUUCCAUAAUAAUUCCUCAUAAUAUAUUUCAUUUUCUGUGCAAAAUUGCAACCUCUUAAAAAAAAAAAAAUAGAACUGCAGUUGCAUAAUUUAAAUUCAGAUGCUUAUUAAAAAUGGACAACUAUGUCAAUGUGUUCCUCAGAAUGCUCUUUAAAAUGUCCUUUGUUUUAAAAAAAAUCACGUGGGAAAUUUUCAAGGCAGAUCAGUUUUUGUAAACAAAAUUAUUAAGAGCUAAAUAUGAGGUUUAUAAUGGAAUUUGGCUGAACUGGUAAGGAUUUAUACCAAUAGUAAAUUACAAGGGCUGCAACAUGGCCCUAGAAUUGGGGGAAAAGAAAAGCUUUUCUGAUGAGCUGAAAAUAACAGCUUUGCCACCAAGUUAGGCUUAAAUAUCAAAAAAGGAAAAAGCUGUCUGUAGUAUCAGACAAUUUUCAUUGAGGGUCCUCAGGGAAUGCUUUUAAAGGGCAUGUCAAAUAAAAAUAGCUCUUCAAAAUGGAAGGAGGGCUUCAAAGAAAAACAAGAAAGGGAAAAUAAGAAAGAAGACACAAAUGCCCUCUUCAUCCUGUGGCAGCAGAUAGGAGAGUCCUGGGACUCUAUUACUGCUUAACACUCAGAAAUGUGGGGAAGUCAUUUUUACAGCCAUGCACAGCUCAGGGAAGUAAUUAAACACUAGCUUCAUUAUAAUUAAUAUGUGUAAGUAGCUCCUUUAUGCAAAUCAUAAUAUCCAUCUAAGCAUGUAGGCUCAGGAACUAUUACAGCUUUUAUUCACAACUGUAUUUAUUUUAUUUUGAAUCAGCUAUUGCCUUAUAUCCCACCACUUUUAAAUUACCCAGUAGAUAACGUGAGAAUAAUACCACAAUUGCAAAGUAAAUUCACUGUGGUUCUCUCUCCUGAUAAUGGAUUAAACUAAAGAAUUUUCUAGCCUGGCUUCAUAUUUUGAAAGCAUAAUUUUUAGGAGCGAGACUCAGCUAUAUUUUAUUUAAGCUGCAAUAAUUUUCAGUCAGUAGUUAAUCUUCCAAUUACCUGAUUUAGUUAAAAUUAUAACCAUCUAAAAGCAUAGGUAGUAUAAUUAGAGCCAUUUGAGAGUUACUGCAAAGACAGUAAUAAAUUAUUCCGUGUCCACGUAGAAUGGUGUACAAAAUAAUGGGAUUAAUUUUCAGCAAAUGAGGUUUAGGUUAGGCUUUAGAAAAAGCUUUGUGAUGCUGAAGAUAGUUGAACAGUGAAAAAUCCUCUCAAUUCUCUAUCUCCAGUGAAGCCCAGAGGUUAAACAAACAUUUGUUCUCAGUAGUUUAGGUAUGGCCCAGCCUUCCUUGGGGGAUGACACCCUACACCUCCAGAAGUUCUCUUCAUUCCAUGCCCAGUUAUUUUGUAUUUUUAUUUUGAAUUGUCAGUACCAUUGUUUUUGCAGUUUUUUAGAGCUGUUUUUUUUUUUUUUUUAAUGUUUUAGAAAGGUUCACUAUGCUGUUAUUUUAUUAAGUCUUUUCUCCAAAUUUAUAUCUCUCUGUGACUAGGAACUGAUUUCUGAGAGCAAGGUAUGUGAUGUUUUGGCUUCAUUUAUAUGGAAAUUCUGAGAUUGUUUUGAGAUUUCAGCUUAUCUUUUGGUCAUUUUAGAUUAACCAAAUGCAAAGAAUAUGAAGAGAUUUUGCAAUUUUGUUAGUUUGCAUUGUAUUCACUCAGGAUCUUCCUGCUGACACUGAAAGCUCCACAGUGAGAGCACUUGGCAGAGACCAAAACACUUAAACUAUUACUGAUAAAGAAGGGCAUUUGUUUGUUCAGAGCAUCACUUUCUAGAUUGCUUAUUGCUUAUAUUCCCCUGGCAGUAUUUUUCACAGUAAUAGAUUUUUUUUUUUUAUGGCUUCCCUUAAAUUGACAUUACAGUGUUAAGAAUGUGUUAUAGAAUAGAAGAAGUAGGGAAAAAAGAAGUAAUUUCUUCGUAGGUAUAUUGUGGUUCUUUGACAGUUGUCUGAAGGCUUUUCAGGUUUUGCAUUAUGUAAGCAAUUCUGAACAAAACAGGACUUGAUAAGCUUUCUUUCACGCAGCUCUGAUAACACAUCUAUCUGCCGCAGUCACCAAUUUGUGCCAAAAUGGGGAGCAAUAAAAAGUUGCCUUUUCGUAAGACAAUAUGUAAGGAUAGGGUUAUAUUAGUAUGCAAAGUCCAUUUACUCAUUACUCACUUUCUGAGAUUUGUGCCUCUAGAGACUUUUUUGUGUUCAGGCCAGAAGAAAACUCAGAUACUUAAAAGAUAUGCAAAUUCUUUAUGGAAUAGGCUCGAAACACCAAAUGAUUUCAAAAAUAUUUCAUGGUAUACUAGAAGCCUGUAACUAUGAGGUUAUGCUAUAUCUAUAACAGGAAGUAAUGAAGAUUCAAGUAAGCUUUUAUUUAUUAAUUUGUAAUCAGAAUUUUAAAUACCUUCCCUAUAAAUAAGCUAUUUAUGAUUAAGUCUAGAAUCUCCCAGGGGCUGUAGCGUACCAGCAUAUUCAUCUAGACAAUUAUAAAUACACAGAAACAUUCAAAGGCUGAUAGUGAUGGGUUUCCAUAUUGCUGGCAUGCUACCAAAAUCUGGUUAGAAAAAGGAAAAUGACAAGCUGUGGUAAUUAUAGUUAGAACAUUGCUGGCUAUUUUUAAAAAUAACAAAUAGAAUCAGAGGCUAAAGAACAGCCAACAACAAACAUACUAAUCACUGAAUUAGGCUGCAUAAGUCUAUUCCAAAACCUAAAAGUUUCAUGUGCUGUGGAACUGAAUCUCGCUAUACAAAUUUUGGAUUCAGUACAGAGAAGCACAUCUAAACCUGGCCCAUGGCAUCAUUUACCCCACAUUUGUUUGCCUUUUCACUGUGCUGUAUUUUGAUGCUUUUGUGUCAUUGAACCUAAUUGCAGAGAAAUUUUCUUCGAUCCUGGAAGAGCCUCAGCUACAAAGAUACUGAAAUAAUGUUGUUAGGGUUAUUCAUAAGGAAAUGGGUACAAUUAUAUUACUUGAGUGAUAUGAAACAUGACUUUUCAAAGUAGUAUAGAUUGCAUUACAGAAAAUUAACUGAGGAAGAUCUAUUGAUCUCAUGUAUUUUUAUGCUUUUUUUUUUUUCAUUUGUGAGUUCACAAGCAGGAGGAAUCAAAAUGUGGGAGACCAGGAGGUCAGGACAGCAUGCUUGAUUGCCUACAUGAAGAGUAACAAGCUUCUUCUCUGGUCCCAUGUGAGCCACCUGGAAACCAUUGAGGAGCACAAGAGCCCCAGUAUCAUCUCAGUGGAUGUUCCAGAGAAACUGUUUGAAUGUCUGUUCUAGAAAGGUACAUGAAUUUAUCCUGCAAUGAAUACAGAAGCAUAGGAGAUGGAGGACAGGACCUUGACCUGAACAGAUCUGAAGAAUGAGAUACAGAAAACAGAAAAAAAAAUCAACUUUUCAUGAAGAGUUGAAAGAAAGAAAAAAGAAGAAAGUGCAUGUCCUUCAAAAAGGAAAUCCUCCAGCAAAUCUGCUAAUGAAGUCCCUGCUCAUUUUGCAUUCUGGAUUUGUCCAAAGAGGUGCUAAAUAUCAGCAGGUAAUGGAGGACGGGAACAAUACUGUUGAGCAACGACAAGCAAGUGAGAUUAAAGCUGAAAAUACUGAUUCUACAAGAACUGCUUGUUCAUGGGAAUGCUGCUGCUACAUGCCAGAAAAUCUAAAGAAGAAAAAUAAUGAAAAGGUGAAGUAAUUUCUUUGAAUUCACAGUAAAUCAGCAGACUCAUGGAUCGAAGUCAGACUAAUAGACCAAGGACAAACACAACUGCGGGGAUUGGCCUCUUCUCCCAGCGUAGGAGAGUUUCAAAGAGGAACCUGACAGAUAUUUGCUCCUGCUGGGCUGAGCUGUGAUGCUGGAGAUUUCAAGAAGAUACUCCACAGCAGUUGAGUGACUUUCUCAUUGCAAGGCAACGCUGGGAAAAGCAUCCUCUCCAGGUAGGAAGAAAGUGUAAAAAGAAGUCCGGAAAUGAGGCUUAUAUCUGAUGGAUAUUGGGUGCUGGCAGGGUCAUACCUGGAAAGAGGUGGUGCACCAAAACUGACAAGGUAGGGAAAUCUUCCAUCCAGGUUUACAGAGAAUAGCAGAGGGUUCACUCUCAUUUUGAUCUGAUAUAAUGCUUUGAAUCUGGGAAAAUAUAUGGUAUAACUUUUCAUUAAAAAAUAUUUAUUUUUUAACAUGUGAGACUAGAUGCAUUUCACAGUUUUAUUUUGCUGUUUCCUGUCUGUCUUUCUUCAACUCUCGUGCCUGUUAAAUGUCAAAAAAAAAAAAAAAAAAAAAAAACGUAUGCAAAGAGGCCAUGAGGGUGCAGGUCUGCUAAAGAGUCUGAGGGUAAUCAAUAAUGUGGAUUUGAUUUUCAGCCAUGCCAAAUAGCUCUGGUUCCACAUGGCAUUAUCAGCACCAGUAAGCAAUCAGUGUUAUACAUGGAGCUCUUUAAGUGCUCUUGGAUUGUUUCUUGAUCGGUAUCUGUGGGGAAAAAGAAGGUAACUUGACUUGUAAAGUUUCAAGAUUCAACCCACAUUUAUUUAUUGUUUCACAAUUUCCAGACUCCUCAUGGGAGUUACAAACAUAAGCCUCCAUCCUUGGGAGCACCAUGUGCUCCUGCACAUCAGUCUUGGGCUGCUGGAGCUUUAUUGCUGCUUUCACAGCUGUUGUGUUCCCAUACAUAAUUAAUAAGCAAACACUUCAUAUGGUAUUGUGAAUGGAUAAUGUUAUUAUAUUGUCCAUCGCACAUUGAAAUCAAAAUGGACCAAGACAAAUUUUUACUAGUAUCUUAGGAGAUCUUGCAGACAUCAGACAGGCUGAGAGAUAUCUGAACAUUAUUUCUAAGGAGGAGAUGAAAGUGUUUCACAACAUAUUGAUCUGUACCUGAGCGUAAAUGAUUAAUGUACUGUGGUCCAACUGCAGCUGGAUUUCUUUUGACAACAGCCAUGAAACAAGCUAUGAUCUCAUAUCCAUUGAUAGAUCGAUAUAUAUAGGUAUGUAUUUUUAUAUAUAGAUGCAUUUACCUUUAUCAUGUGAUUGAGUGGCAGACCUUGCAUUAUAAAUCAAGGCUUGGCAAAAGUGGAAGUAUAAACUUGACACAUUUCUGGAUGUAUGUGAUCUAGUAUUUAUUAGUUUUUUCCUCUCAGUGUGAUUCUCUUUCCAACUUUCCUCAUUUUUGACUGAGAAUCCCUUGAUAGACUCUAUUAUUUCCAAAAUUUUCCUCUAUACUGAAAUACUGUCAAUACUACUUGAAAUGUGUUAUGGAAAGAAUGCCAUUUGUCCACUGCUCUGCUUAAGAUGGGCACUUAUGAGUUAAUUUUUUAAAAUCUCCAUUUUCUUCUGAUGUAAGUAUAAACAAAUAAGAAGGUAAGACUGAAGUUGAAAUGGGGAAAAAUGUGGGCAAGACAAUUAACAUUUGCAAAGCAAUAAGGACUUACCUGAAUAGCUUAAUUGAACACUGGAGACUUCGUGUUUCUGGGGAGAAAGAAGAAUAAAUUCAGUGCCAUUUAACACCGAUGUGUUAAGCAAUGUAAGUUGCUACAUUAAUAAUCUUUCCUGGCAUAUUGAGUGGGAAUUUUGUAUCUAUUUAUUUCUUUAUGCUGUAUCUAUUGCAGGAAUUCUUUCUCCUGUACUCUUUUCUGACAAGCGAACCUCAGUAUGCCAACAGAAUAACUCUGCCUUCCUUGCCACGCACAAUAGACUGUUUUUAAUGCCUUGAUUACAAUUUACAUCUAAUGCCUAGGGAAAGAAGAACCAUUCUGAGAAGCUUUCAAAAUAUGUUUGCAGUCUCAUAACCAACUCAAACUGCAAAUAUGUUUUUCUUUUAUGGGUUUACACUUAGCAACUGAACAUAGUUAUAUCUGCCCAGAAGCCUUGUACAUAAUUACGUCUUGAUUCACACUGGUUCUGGGAAAGCAUUAAGUCAAAAUGGUUAUAAAUAUGUAAUCUGAAUAAUUUGAUUUGUCAGUGAGAAACAUUAUUUAACUACAAUAUUUUGGAUGAAGUCGCUGCUUUCGUUGAAUACUUGCAUUUGUAGUGUAAUAAGCCACUGCAAACCAAUAAUGAAUGGCAAACUUUGGAAGUAUGGAAAUUAUAUUGUCUGAGGAAACCUGCAACACAGUACAAUGAUAACUGGCUCAGUCAAGGGUAAAAUCAAGAGGAAAAAUAGUUAAUUCUAUUUUCUUGACAUUUGUUGUUGCUUUGUUUUGUUUUUUAAACGAGAGAGAGAUUUUUUCCCAGUGCUUCAGAAACCUUCUUCGUAUCACCUCAUGUCAGAAGCAAUUGUAUGGAGUGGAUGUAAAAAGGCCUGGGACAAUUGCACAGUUCAUACUGUAAAGAUGAAAGCAGCCUGCUCUUUCUGGUACAUCUCCGCUUUGAUCUACAUAGUGUGGAAAACUGAGACCUUGCCCAGCAUAAUGCUGCAGGCUUCUGCCGUGUUGCAAGUCCUUGGAACAGAGAGAGGAAAAGGUGCUGUACUCAUACCAUGGCAGUUACAGAAGAACAAAGACUGGUAUAUGCUGAAACUUGUCAGUUGAUGAAGUUAGCUCUGCAAAUGGAUUUAAAAACUUCUUUGUCAAAAAAGUGGAUGCUUAUCACUCAAUUAUUUUUAUGUCCUCAAGCUGAAUCUAUUACUUAUUCAUCACAAUCGUAAUACUAAAUUGAGUUACCAGAAGAGGUUGAGAUUGCUUUUACUUUCCAUCCUUCAAGGGCUGUGAGGCUAGAUACGGCAGGUACUCUGAACCUGUUGCUUCAGGACCCCAGGAAGACUCAAGCCUUUCCAGUAUCAAGUUGUUGACAAAGAUGAGUCCCUGCCAGUAGGAUCCAAGGACUACUUGUGUCACUGCAGUGAGGAGGACAUCACGCAAGUCACAUACAACCAAAUUGCAAGUUAACUGCCGAGCUCAUGAGGGAUAUGCAAUUCUACAAACCUCCCAAAGUAAACUCACAAUUUGCGCUCCCUGAAGGCACUAAAAAUCAACGAGAGUCAUGGAAUACUGGAACAUAUGGAAGAGUUUGCCACCCUUUGCACAAACACACAAGACACCAUUACCCUACAGGGCUACAUCAUAUUUAUGUUUGCUAUUAGAAUGCACCUCAGUAAUACGCACGGCCCCAUUCAAAGUGAAGCAUGGCAACACCUGGUGUUUGUGUGAAACCAUCCCAGAAGGUUUACAAAUUCAAUUAAGAAAAAACGCAAUGAGCUGUGGCAGGGAAGAUAAGUGCUAUACAGGCAGGAAGGCAUUACUUAUAGUGACAAAUCUGCUGGCACCACUCAAGUGUCUGUGCCUAAAGAAGGAGACUGAAUGUGACAGGAAAACAACCCUUAACAGAAAUGUUAUUCUUCUACUUUAUCGAGAUUUCUUAGUGACCUUUGGGAUGCAGUUGCAAUCACACAUCCUUAUCUGUUACAUUUUAAAUUGCUACUGCUUGCUUUCACACACGCACCAAUCCAGUUGAAAUGCAAAACUAUUAAGAUGUACAUAAAGUCGUGAGGUAUCUUAGAGGCUCAGAUAAAACACAGAAAAUUUCAAAACUUCAGAUUCCACUAAGAAUGAAAAAUAAAAAUAAUAAAAAAACAUACCUGAUGAAUGCUUACAUAUGUCCUCUCAGAGUGCUCAGCCUCUGUCUGGUUCCCAAUGCAAGGCAAAGAAUCGUAGAAUCAUUGCAGUUGGAAAGACCACUAAGAUCACCCAGUCAACUCAUCAACCCAUUACCACCAUAGCACUAACCCAGGCCAACCACAUGUAGCUUCCUUCCCACCACUGUGAGUGGAAGACUCGCACAUUCAAUCAUCACAAAGCCAACCAAAUGCAUCCCUGGACUCACUUCAGCCUUUUCCAGCACCCACACUAACAACAGCCCCAAGGAGCUGUGAGAGAACACCUGGGAGCCAGCUUCAGCCUCAGGUACCAUCCAAAACCCUUCCCUUUAGAGUUCCCUGUUCCCUACAGAGGGGAAGCAGAGACAGGCUCUCCUUCAAACAUGUAGCUCCUUUCCUCUCCUCACUUUCCUAAAGAGGUCCUUGGGGUCCUGCUCCCCAGGCUGGGUGUUCUUUCCCUUUUCCUGCUCUAUGCCAUGUGAAAGGAAACUGACCACUCACAGAGGACUGAUGCUGUCUUCUUGUCAGAUGCUGUGUUGUGCAGUUGCACCGCAUUGGACGCAUUUUGCACAGCCCCACAAUUUUAGUUUGUGUUAUAAUUAACAAAUACUCAUUGACAUAGCAAAGAAAUUAAACAUUCUCAUGCUAUUCACAUUAUACAUUAUUAAGACAGGGAAGAGUCUCCUCCUAAUGCUGCCUUUGAGCCACAGUUUACUUAUUCCACUCAAGAUAAACAGCACCCUGCUCUGUUUCCCUACCGUGACAAUGUCUCUGUGAAGUAAUGUGCAGCUCAUUCUAAUUAGCCGAAUUUCAUGCUCUCCUACUUUGUUAUUGUUGAGCUCUUAGUUUGCGCUCUGGGCUUCAGUGCUUUUUUGUGGCCAAGAAAACACAGUGAUUGCC